GGUGGUGGUGCAUGGCCGUU
rnacentral:siRNA from 1 species